rnacentral:rRNA from 1 species
AUGUACUUUGCGAUGCCCUCACGGAGGGUGAGGAUCUCCUCCUUGGAGAGGUCUUUGGUGACCUUGUUCUCCAAAUUGAGCUCUGAAAGGAUCUGGCGGGCGCGUGCCCGGCCAAUGCCAUGGAUGGAUUGCAGUGCGUACUCCACCCUCUUGUGGUUAGGUAUCACAACACCACCAAUACGAAUGGAAUCCAUGAACCCACCAUGA